rnacentral:rRNA from 1 species
GACGAACGCUGGCGGCGUGCUUAACACAUGCAAGUCGAGCGAUGAAGCACCUUCGGGUGUGGAUUAGCGGCGAACGGGUGAGGAACACGUGAGGAAUCUGCCUUCCACUCUGGGAUAACUCCGGGAAACCGGGGCUAAUACCGGAUAUUCUCAACUGGCGGCGUCGCCGGUUGAAGAAAGUUUUUCGGUGGAAGAUGACCUCGCGGCCUAUCAGCUUGUUGGUGAGGUAAAGGCUCACCAAGGCGACGACGGAUAGCCGGCCUGAGAGGGUGACCGGCCACACGGGGACUGAGACACGGCCCAGACUCCUACGGGAGGCAGCAGUGGGGAAUAUUUGGCAAUGGAGGAAACUCUGACCCAGCGACGCCGCGUGAGGGAUGAAGGCCUUCGGGUUGUAAACCUCUUUCAGCAGGGAAUAAGCGAAAGUGAAGGUACCUGCAGAAGAAGCACCGGCUAACUAUGUGCCAGCAGCCGCGGUAA